AGGGGUAGAAAGGUGGAGCGCCGUCGAGUUCAAAGAGCAGACGUCGUGGAGGACUCUAGGUCGUCGUCGUGACACCGCUGCCGAGGUCCACCAUCGCCACCAUCAAUUUCCAAGAGGGGCAUCACCGCAGGCCUCUUUGACUGCAGCCAGAGCUCGAUGGCCGGGGCAAGGCGUUAGUCUCGGCCGGGAUCCGCCGCUGCCCGUCGUCUUCACCGUUCGACAGUUCUCUGCUCCCCCGAUCCCACUACCCUCCAUGGCGUCGUCUCUGCAUCGCCAUUCAUCGUUGAAGAUCGCCCGCCUCUCUUGCGCGGGAUCGACGCGAUUGCCACCAGGAAAGGCAUCAUCGCUGCUGUCGUGCAAGGUAACUGGCCACCUCCUCUCUUUUUUAGUAAUUGUACGGUGUACUCCAUGGCAUACUAAUAACUGUUUCUCCUCAAUCCACGCUCGCCUCAACACUACUACCAUAAUAUUUGGUCAUUACUCAAUUUGCUCGAGGAGGCUAGCUGGGCGAAUUAUUAUACAUAUUAUAUGUUGAGCAGGCUGCAGGAAGAUUGUCCACCACUUCUACAUUCUGGGAUUCCUCUCAUAAUCUAUUUCGAGUGGUUCCCAUAAGGCCAUAGGCCCAUUCCUCGCCAAGGUAACCGGUAAUCACAGCCGGUCCUAAUUAUUCCCAGACAUCAGUAAAGAUUGAUGUUAUCUAUUUAAUAAGUUGUAUGUGUUUCUCUUACCUGCAUUUUUGUCUCCUUUUAGUUUAUGGCAUUGAUGUGUGAAUCAAGUUCAGGAUCUUAGACAAUGUUGUGAGUGGUGUAGCCCAAGCUUGGUUUAUUGAUUUGUCUUUUUUAAUUAUGUUAUUGAUAUUCUUUGCGUCGUGGGUGAUCUUAUGGAUAGUUAUAUAUACCUCAGCAAACACAAAUGGAUGAGAAGAUUAACUAAGGAGUACAAAAGUUGAAGGCCCGUGAACCGUGAUAGACAACAAUGAGCAGAUCUGAUCCUAUUGCCUUGGUAUUUGGAGCGACAUCGUGGCAUUGCUUUUGAUGGUGGUGGUCGGCGAGCACCUGGAGUCGAUGUAAUAGCCGAAACUAUUUAAACGGGAGCAGCAACACGCAUUGGGAAUACAAUCUCGAUGUUGGGGUUGUUUUGUGCAUGUGCUCUAAUAAGUCGAUGUGUCUGCGAACUUGCUCACCGUCUCCACGACAGCUACUGUAUGCACCCGCGACUGAGAGCCACCCCUCACUACCGCCGUGCCCAGCCACACCCACUAUGUUCUACAAUAUUGCGGUGACUUUAUAAUGAUUGUUGCCCAAUUUAUCUUCAUUUCUUUUGGAGACUCAACAAAUUUCAUCCAAAUUAUUACGAAUGGUCAGUAGAUAUUAAGUUUUUUGGAGAUUCAAAAUGGUGUGCUAUAGUGAUGACCAGUAUCAAUGCUUUGAUCAUAUUUUGCACAUAGUUUUUCUCUUCUCUCGAAAUAGAGUGAAACCAUUUUGGGGAUUUCAUAGUGGAACCAACGGAAAGCAAGGUGGGGAUGAAAGCUCAAGGGAAGUAGGGAAUACCAGAAGAUCUGACUCACUGUCGCCUAAUCUAGGCGCUGGCCGGCCGAAGUAAUGAAGGGUGACAUAGGGAGGGUUGAGAGACGCCGAACUUUUCAGCUAAAGUGGUGCCUGUAUAUUGGACAAGCAAGACACUCAAAAAUAGAUUCAGCAUGGUUCCUGCACUUCCAACUUUUCAUGGUUCACUUCACGUAAAAUGAACCUUGUUCGUUAUUGGGCAUCUGUGGUGGUUCGCGACUCUGCGAGAAGAUGAUCGAGGGUCGGCGGUGUGGCUGCUUCGUCGUCAUCUUCGAUGAAUGCCACUCAAAAGAGAAUUCUGAAGCUGAUGAACUUGGAUGGCCAGACAGUCUAGCAUACCAACAGACAUCUCCACAUAAAUGGUGGCAUCUAUGGUGAUCAGGGAGGAUGACGUGAAGUGAACCAUGCUCGAUCGAAUGUCAGUGCUAAAUCUAACACUUGUAGAUGCCACUCAAAAGAGAAUGUUGAAGCUGAUGAACUUGGAUGGCCUGACAGUCUAGCAUUCCAACAGACAUCUCCACAUAAAUGUUGGCAUCUAUGGUGAUCAGGGAGGAUGACGUGCUAUGGCAGCAAUAAUAGCGCGGUGCCGCUAUCUCUCUCAUGAUUGAAUCACCCCAAUCUGAAAUUUGAGUGGAGUUCCCCAUGGCAAGUGAAUACCUUUCAAUUGGAUGCUUGAGGGAGAAGGGUACCCUAUGAUGCAAGUGGAUGGUUGUAUAUCUAUUGUAAAUCAAAGUUUAGAGAUAUAGCCAUGUUGAUCAUGUUUUUGUAUUGGGCUUCCUUGUUCAUUGGUAUUAGUAUUUUCUUGUGGAACACCAUGGCCUAACUUUGUUAUUUUAAUA